CCUUUACCCAUUGCCUCGCGCAUGCCACUAUCCGGGGCAACCACCUAUCUCAAUAACGUCCAUUGGUGGGUGGGCGGCCGUCACUGAUGUGGGAUUGUGGUCGUCCGUAUUGAAAACGGAAAGAGUACUUUUGUGACCGAAGGCCCGAAGUUGGCAAGAAGAAAGCAGGAGCGUGGGAAGAUCUUUUGACUCGACUUCAUAGUUCAUUGCCAAGUAAGAAUGUCGGGAAGAGAAGGUGGCAAGAAGAAGCCCCUGAAGGCUCCUAAAAAAACAGGGCAAGGAGAUGGAUGAGUCUGAUCUGGAAUUCAAGAAAAAACAACAGGAGGAGCAAAGAAAAUGAAAGAGCUGCAGGCCAAGGCUGCUGGCAAAGGACCUCUGGCGACCGGUGGCAUCAAGAAAUCGGGCAAAAAAUGACGACGGCUGCCCACCAACGCUACCACCGACCCCACCGCGUGCCGAGGUCAGAGGGAGCACCAACAGCUCCUGCUGCGUGUCGCUGCUGAUAUUGAAACUGUUCUGGAUCGGCCAGACUUCGCCAGUUGGCUCAGCCGCGCAGAUUCCUGCUUGAAGGCGACGUCCGUUCUGACGCUCCGUCUGUGAACGCUCUCAAAUACACGAUUCCAUGAUGUAA